rnacentral:tRNA from 1 species
GCUGAAAUAGCUCAGCUGGGAGAGCGUUAGACUGAAGAUCUAAAGGUCCCUGGUUCAAUCCCGGGUUUUGGCA